GAUGAACGCUGGCGGCGUGCUUAACACAUGCAAGUCGAACGGAAAGGCCCAAGCUUGCUUGGGUACUCGAGUGGCGAACGGGUGAGUAACACGUGGGUGAUCUGCCCUGCACUUCGGGAUAAGCCUGGGAAACUGGGUCUAAUACCGGAUAGGACCACGUCUUGGAUGUUGUGGUGGAAAGUUUUUUCGGUGUGGGAUGAGCUCGCGGCCUAUCAGCUUGUUGGUGGGGUAAUGGCCUACCAAGGCGUCGACGGGUAGCCGGCCUGAGAGGGUGUACGGCCACAUUGGGACUGAGAUACGGCCCAGACUCCUACGGGAGGCAGCAGUGGGGAAUAUUGGACAAUGGGCGCAAGCCUGAUGCAGCGACGCCGCGUGGGGGAUGACGGCCUUCGGGUUGUAAACUCCUUUCGCUAGGGACGAAGCGUUUUUGUGACGGUACCUGGAGAAGAAGCACCGGCUAACUACGUG
rnacentral:rRNA from 1 species